GCCGGGGCGCCGGCGGGAAACGGAGGUGGCGCAGCGGGAGCAGGGGGCGCAGAGGCCAAGUUGCAGAAGUUUGACCUGUUCCCCAAGACACUGCUUCAGGCAGGCCGUCCAGGCAGCCCUCAGCCUCCGCAGGUGAAGCCUUUAUCGCCCGACUGCGCAGACUCAGGCCCCGGAACAUCGUCCCCGGAGGUGACCUCGGUAUUAACGUGAAAAACAUUCAAAAGCAAGCAUAAAAAGGACAACAUGGAAAAAAUUAGACUAUGCGCACAUCGUCCUUGCCAGGU
rnacentral:lncRNA from 1 species